rnacentral:rRNA from 1 species
ACGCUGGCGGCGUGCUUAACACAUGCAAGUCGAACGGAGCACCCUUGAUUGAGGUUUCGGCCAAAUGAUAGGAAUGCUUAGUGGCGGACUGGUGAGUAACGCGUGAGGAACCUGCCUUUCAGAGGGGGGACAACAGUUGGAAACGACUGCUAAUACCGCAUGACGCAUUUUGAUCGCAUGGUCGAAAAUGCCAAAGAUUUAUCGCUGAAAGAUGGCCUCGCGUCUGAUUAGCUAGUUGGUGAGGUAACGGCCCACCAAGGCGACGAUCAGUAGCCGGACUGAGAGGUUGACCGGCCACAUUGGGACUGAGAUACGGCCCAGACUCCUACGGGAGGCAGCAGUGGGGAAUAUUGGGCAAUGGGCGCAAGCCUGACCCAGCAACGCCGCGUGAAGGAAGAAGGCUUUCGGGUUGUAAACUUCUUUAAGGGGGAAGAGCAGAAGACGGUACCCCUAGAAUAAGCCACGGCUAACUACGUGCC